rnacentral:rRNA from 1 species
CACCCCGACGAGGGGAGUGAAACAGUACCUGAAACCGGACGCCUACAAGCAGUCGGAGGGGCCUUGAGCCCUGACGGCGUACCUUUUGUAUAAUGGGUCAACGACUUGGUCUUACGAGCAAGCUUAAGCCGAUAGGUGUAGGCGCAGCGAAAGCGAGUCUUAAAAGGGCGCAUGAGUUCGUGGGAUCAGACCCGAAACCAGGUGAUCUAGCCAUGAGCAGGAUGAAGGUUGGGUAACACCAACUGGAGGUCCGAACCAACACCCGUUGAAAAGGGUCUGGAUGACUUGUGGCUAGGGGUGAAAGGCUAAUCAAACCUGGAGAUAGCUGGUUCUCCGCGAAAGCUAUUUAGGUAGCGCCUCGGACGAAUACCUGCGGGGGUAGAGCACUGCAUGGAUGAUGGGGGCC